rnacentral:misc_RNA from 1 species
UUUCCGUAGGUGAACCUGCGGAAGGAUCAUUACCGAGUGAGGGCCCUCUGGGUCCAACCUCCCACCCGUGUUUAUUUACCUUGUUGCUUCGGCGAGCCUGCCUUUUGGCUGCCGGGGGACGUCAGUCCCCGGGUCCGUGCUCGCCGGAGACACCUUGGAACUCUGUCUGAAGAUUGUAGUCUGAGAUUAAAUAUAAAUUAUUUAAAACUUUCAACAACGGAUCUCUUGGUUCCG